ACCAAGGAGUCUAACAUAUGUGCGAGUACAGGGGUGUCAAACUCAGGUGUGUAAUGAAAGUGACAGUGGUUGGAUAUUUUGCACAAUCCACCGGCCUCAAUCCUUUGGGAGAACGGUCUGAGUGUGAGCAUACAUGUUAGGGCCCAAAAGAUGGUGAACUAUGCCUGAAUAGGGUGAAGCCAUUAGAAACUCUGGUGGAGGCUCGUAUUGAUUCUGACGUGCAAAUUGAUCGUCAAAUUUGGAUAUAGGGGCGAAAGACUGAUUGAACCAUCUAGUAGCUGGUUCCCUCCAAAAUUUCCCUCAGGAUAGCUGCAACUGGUUGUUUAAUUUUAUAUGGUAAAGAGAAUGAUUAGAGGUUCCAGGAGCGUAAUAAAUUUGGCCUAUUCUCAAACUUUAAAUGGGUAAGAACUGGGGUUGCUUAAUUGAACCCUGCAUUCGAAUAACGGUUGCUAGUGGGCCACACCGGAUAAGCUGGUUUGGCAAUGUGGGAUGAUCCAAACGUGGAGAUAAAGUGCCAAAGUGCUCGCUCACCUAUAUUCCACAAAAGGUGUUGGUUCAUAUAGCAUAGACAGCAGGACAGUGGCCAUGGAGGUAGGGAUCCGCUAAGGAGUAGGUAACAACUCACCUGCCAAAUGAACUAGCCCUGAAAAUGGAUGGCGCUGAAGCAGGCCACUUAUAAUCCACCACCAGCGCAAGUGUUUAGUGUUGGUGAGUAGGAGGGCGUGAAGAUCGUUGUGCAGCUCGUGCCGUGAGGCAGAGUGAAACUUCCUUUAGUGCAGAUCUUGGU
rnacentral:ncRNA from 1 species